AACGUAGGAGACAAACGUUAUCCGGAGUUACUGGGCGUAAAGGGCGUGUAGGCGGUUAGUUAAGUCUGGCGUGAAAGCUCUCGGCUAAACCGGGAGAGGUCGUUGGAUACUGUCUGACUAGAGGACGGUAGAGGCGUGUGGAAUUCCGGGUGUAGUGGUGAAAUGCGUAGAGAUCCGGAGGAACACCAGUGGCGAAGGCGACACGCUGGGCCGUACCUGACGCUAAAGCGCGACAGCAUGGGGAGCAAACGGG
rnacentral:rRNA from 1 species